GUAAGGAAUAUUGGACAAUGGGCGGAAGCCUGAUCCAGCCAUGCCGCGUGAAGGAUGAAGGCGCUCUGCGUUGUAAACUUCUUUUGGACGGGAACAAUAACUUCGAUGCGUCGGAGCUUGAGGGUACCGUCAGAAUAAGCACCGGCUAACUCCGUGCCAGCAGCCGCGGUAAUACGGAGGGUGCAAGCGUUAUCCGGAAUCACUGGGUUUAAAGGGUGCGUAGGCGGUCUGAUAAGUCAGUCGUGAAAUCGCUGGGCUUAACCUUUGCAACUGCGAUUGAUACUGUUAGACUUGAAUGAGAUUGAGGCAGGCGGAAUGUGGCAUGUAGCGGUGAAAUGCUUAGAUAUGCCAUAGAACACCAAUUGCGAAGGCAGCCUGCUGGGCCUUUAUUGACGCUGAGGCACGAAAGCGUGGGGAGCAAA
rnacentral:rRNA from 1 species